rnacentral:lncRNA from 1 species
UUGAAUUAGUAUAUAGAUGGUUCAAUAAAAAUCAUGGAUGGUUGAAUCUAAUGGUAUUUGAAUCUGAUCAAGAUGGAUGCUAGUAUGCUGUCCGACGACCACAGAUCAAGAUUUUUCACUAAGUUUAAUCAAAAUCAUCAAAAGAAAGCCCUUCAUUGGACUUAUCUUAGAGAGAGAAAACUUUAUAAAGAGAGAAAAAUAAUUCUAAAGAAAGAAAAUAUUAUAGAGAG